UGGCGAUGAAGAAUCAAAGGCCGGACUUAUGGCUGCCAUUUCACUUACUGGUAGUAGAGUAGUUGAUGAAUGAUUUUGUCAAGGUAUAUGUUCUGAGCCAG